UGAUGUUAGCGGCGGACGGGUGAGUAACACGUGGGUAACCUGCCUGUAAGACUGGGAUAACUCCGGGAAACCGGGGCUAAUACCGGAUGCUUGAUUGAACCGCAUGGUUCAAUUAUAAAAGGUGGCUUUUAGCUACCACUUACAGAUGGACCCGCGGCGCAUUAGCUAGUUGGUGAGGUAACGGCUCACCAAGGCAACGAUGCGUAGCCGACCUGAGAGGGUGAUCGGCCACACUGGGACUGAGACACGGCCCAGACUCCUACGG
rnacentral:rRNA from 1 species